UGGUCAUUAAUUAAGGACUCCCCUUAGUGCUGUGGCUAACCCUCAGCGGGUGCACACUGACAUACGCCGUUCUGUCGUCCAAAAGUCUCUUGAGGGACAAAUGUUUACAUGCGUCAGGAAGAACGCUUCCAGAUGAUGUCAUUGUGAUGUUUCCUGAAAGCAUCUCAUUGGUGGGUUUCUAAGGAGUUGGGACACAGUCAGAGCUUAAAGCAUGAAACCUUCAGCGAGGUCUUCUAAAUGCUUAUUUCUUAUCUUUAAAUUUUGGUAAGGUCUCAUGUAGCCUAACCCAGCCUCUUAUUCACUACGUGGCUGAAGAUGACCUUGAACUUCUGACCACCCCGCCUCCUCCUCCGGCAGCUGGGAUGACUGGCGCACACCACUGUGCUCAGUUCGUGUGAUGCUGGGGUUUGAAUGAAAGGCUCCGUGCACACUGGGCAAGAACUCUACCCACUAAGCUACAUGCCCGGGCUUAGAAGUACAUUCUUUCUAACCUGGCCCCUCGGUGGCCAGAUGUCUUGAGACCCCAGGGUUAAGAGCCACUUCCAGUUCAUGCUCUGAGGCAGAAGAGCCCGCUUCACGUGACUGUGACGGACCUGGCUGAGAAGGCAGGAGCUUUGCUCGUUCUGCGCCACACAAGAGCCCUCUUCUAGUCGGCAAGUUAAGCCAGCUACACCCAUGGUGGCUGGACAAAGAAAGAGGCCAGUAGGAGAAGAGAUGAAAAUUCAAACACCAAUUCAGAGACCGCCUUCUCAGAUCGCACGGUGGAAGGAAGAAUUCAUAAACCAGAAAUGAGGUCGAGAAUGGCGUUGAGUUCAGGCCUGUUUUGUCCUUCGAUAUUACCAUCAUGCCCAGAUGAGAAACACAAAGAGGAGGGCUGAGCCAAAACAUCUGUCCUCCCCACUGCGAGAACCACUGAACAUCGGUUUUAGGAUAGCGCUGAAUAAGCCUGCCCAGGGAAGAAAUACGUGUGUAAGCAGCUCUGUCCAUGCUUUAAUUAAACCGGCCAUCUGUAAA